CACCAGAUGACUGAAAACAAGUAAUGGUCUCUUAAACCAAAAUAUAGUAAAUUUGUACUUACUUCUGGCGA
rnacentral:tRNA from 1 species